rnacentral:rRNA from 1 species
UACCAGCUCUCCGAGUGGUAGGGAUGAUUAUUGGGCUUAAAGCGUCCGUAGCCGGCUUAGCAAGUCUCCUGUUAAAUUCAGCGACCUAAUCGUUGAGCCGCGGGAGAUACUACUAGGCUAGGAGGCGGGAGAGGUCAACGGUACUUCCGGGGUAGGGGUGAAAUCCUAUAAUCCCGGGAGGACCACCAGUGGCGAAGGCUGUUGACUAGAACGCGCUCGACGGUGAGGGACGAAAGCUGGGGGAGCGAACCGGAUUAGAUACCCGGGUAGUCCCAGCUGUAAACGAUGCGAGCUAGGUGUUGGGGUGGCUACGUGCCACUUCAGUGCCGCAGGGAAGCCAUUAAGCUCGCCGCCUGGGGAGUACGGCCGCAAGGCUGAAACUUAAGGAAUUGGCGGGGGAGCACCACAAGGCGCGAAGCUUGCGGUUC